rnacentral:lncRNA from 1 species
UUUAAGUGAUUCACCAAUAACUUGUCUCAGUUAGAACUCAGUUUACCAGCCAAGCAUUCACCUCCCUUAACUUAAAACAUUUCUUGUUCUUCUUUGCCUUUACCUGCUUCAGUGUUCAGAGUUAUGACUGGGAUGUGCGCUACGUGUCCUCCCUUAAUGCACAACACUGUUUUCCACCUCAAUUAUUGCAGGAAGCAAGGUUAUAUGAAGAAGUAAAUGUGUGAUAAAAUAGCUGGUCUUUGUUGUAAUGCUUGUGUAUCAUGAAGUGUUAUAAGUUUGCAUAGCCAGUUUCAAUCCAGGUAUUUCCCAAAGAAUGAAAUUGUUAUUACAGUUUCACUGUUCAUAAACAACUUCUUUUAGCAUACAGGGAAUACACAUGCAGACAUACAUAGAUGCACCUGCAUCACUUAACCUGUUCUGCCAUUUUCUUUCUUUGACCCUCCGUUCAUGUUACUAACAAGAGCUAAUCUUAGCUAGCUAAUGAGAUCUGACAUUAUCGCAGUCCAUUGCAGGAUGGCUGGAGGCUAGAGGAUUUUGUGUAUCUUGUUUUAUUCAUAUGUUGUCCUGGAGAGAAAUGGAAACAUCACGUAAAAGCACUGAGCACUCAGUGUCUGCCUCUGGGCAAAAUACAGCCAGAAAAUCUUAAAUACUUUUUCAUGAUCACAAUUCCUCUUCAUCUCCUGCUUAUCAAGUAUUCUAGGACAGCAUCCUAUUGUUAUUUUGAGGUAAUUUUUUAGCCUGUGAGUAUAGGAAACAGAUUUCCCUUUUCCUCCCCUUUCUAAAUGUGGCUGCACUAAGAUCUAUUUAUUUAUUUAUUUAUUUAUUUCAUGUUUGGCUCUUUCAUAUAGAUAAACCUCUGCCAUGCUGCAGCUUUUUGAGUGCCUUGAAGCUUGCAAAUGACUCAUGUGGCACACUCCCUUCCCUUUAGCCAACAUUGAAGAAGCCUGGAAAAACUAUGUUUGGGAAUGAUCCUCCUCCUGGCUUACAUCACAAAUGACUUCUAUUACAGGAUAAAGCCUGAAGGCACAAUCCAGCCUGAAAUACAUAGUCAUCAUGAACUGUAAAAAUACUUCAUAACAGAAGUUAAAUACUCCAAAUCAUUUACAAUUCUAAACCCAAAUCCCUAUCAGUCUACAUUUCCAAAUUCUUCAAGUAUGUUUUCUUUUUCAAUAAAUGCCAAUAAGAGAUAAUUAUUGUGUUUGAU